rnacentral:lncRNA from 10 species
GCGGCCAGAGCCUCAGUGACUGCCACCCUGGAGGACAGGGCACAACAACCGUUUCUGGAUGACAGGAAAUUAAAAGUGUAAUAUUACUAAGUGCCUGUGAAGAUUUGGGGACUUCUUAUAAAUGGGUGGUGCAAAUAGGAGUUAACUCAACUCCCUGGGAGUCAUAUUUGGCAAUAACCAGUCACGUGGAAAAUGUACAUCCCCAAUACUGUUGCACAAUGCUGGAAACCCGGAGCAGGCAAUGAGUUGUUCUUGAAUUCGGCCUGAAGUUGAUUCUUUCUCUUCAAUCACCUCACUACCUCCUCUCCACCAACCGUCAGGGUGGGAAAGCGGUCAUACCGGUCCCCCUAUACCAUUUCCUCUCACGUCAGUUCUUCGUGUCCCUGAUCCCCACUUCCAUCCUCCCACUGGACAGUACCUUGUAAUUUCCUCUCCGCCGCUGGAAUGUCCAUUUGACACAAAGACUUUCUGGGACUGGAAGUUUCCACUACUUCAAAUAAACCAAUCUUAUUUACAGCAAGGCAAUUUUUUUUUCUCUAUUCUGG